rnacentral:rRNA from 1 species
GACGAACGCUGGCGGCGUGCUUAACACAUGCAAGUCGAACGGUUGCCAUCUAGCUUGCUGGGUGGUGGUAGUGGCGAACGGGUGAGUAACACGUGAGUAACCUGCCCCCUUCUGUGGGAUAACGUCGGGAAAUCGGCGCUAAUACUGCAUAUUCUGGCUCUCGCGCAUGUGGGGGUUUGGAAAGAUUUUUUGGUGGGGGAUGGGCUCGCGGCCUAUCAGCUUGUUGGUGGGGUGAUGGCCUACCAAGGCGGUGACGGGUAGCCGGCCUGAGAGGGUGUCCGGCCACACUGGGACUGAGACACGGCCCAGACUCCUACGGGAGGCAGCAGUGGGGAAUAUUGCACAAUGGGCGGAAGCCUGAUGCAGCGACGCCGCGUGAGGGAUGACGGCCUUCGGGUUGUAAACCUCUUUCAGUACCGAAGAAGCGUAAGUGACGGUAGGUGCAGAAGAAGCGCCGGCUAACUACGUG